rnacentral:rRNA from 1 species
UACCCUACGGGACGCAGCAGUGAGGAAUAUUGGUCAAUGGGCGGGAGCCUGAACCAGCCAAGUCGCGUGAGGGAAGAAGGUACUGAGUAUUGUAAACCUCUUUUGCCGGGGAGCAACGGGCGUCACGUGUGGCGCCACUGAGAGUACCCGGAGAAAAAGCAUCGGCUAACUCCGUGCCAGCAGCCGCGGUAAUACGGAGGAUGCGAGCGUUAUCCGGAUUUAUUGGGUUUAAAGGGUGCGUAGGCGGAUCGUUAAGUCAGUGGUCAAAUUGAGGGGCUCAACCCCUUCCCGCCAUUGAAACUGGC